UUGAAGAAUUUAAAGAUUUCAACUUACAGAAUUGAUGAUUUAAAAGACUUCAACUAGCAUACUUGGAGAUUUUGAAGACUUCAUCU
rnacentral:pre_miRNA from 1 species